rnacentral:lncRNA from 1 species
GGAAUAGGAUUGUGAUGGGAAAGAACCACGUUUUCCGCUUCAACCACCCGGAGCAGGCGAGGCUGGAACGGGAACGAGGGGUCCCCCCACCCCCAGGACCGCCCUCUGAGCCAGUCGACUGGAACUUUGCCCAGAAGGAACUGCUGGAGCAGCAAGGCAUCGAUAUCAAGCUGGAAAUGGAGAAGAGGCUGCAGGAUCUGGAGAAUCAGUACCGGAAAGAAAAGGAAGAAGCCGAUCUUCUGCUGGAGCAGCAGCGACUGUAUGCGGACUCAGACAGCGGGGAUGACUCUGACAAGCGCUCCUGUGAAGAGAGCUGGCGACUCAUCUCCUCCUUGCGAGAGCAGCUGCCGCCCACCACAGUCCAGACCAUUGUCAAACGCUGUGGCCUGCCCAGCAGUGGCAAGCGCAGGGCCCCUCGCAGGGUUUAUCAGAUCCCCCAGCGACGGAGGCUGCAGGGCAAAGACCCCCGCUGGGCCACCAUGGCUGACCUGAAGAUGCAGGCCGUGAAAGAGAUCUGCUACGAGGUGGCCCUGGCUGACUUCCGCCACGGGCGGGCUGAGAUUGAGGCCCUGGCCGCCCUCAAGAUGCGGGAGCUGUGUCGCACCUAUGGCAAGCCGGAGGGCCCUGGAGAUGCCUGGAGGGCCGUGGCCCGGGAUGUCUGGGACACUGUGGGCGAGGAGGAAGGAGGUGGACCUGGCAGUGGUGGUGGCAGUGAGGAGGGAGCCCGAGGGGCAGAGGUGGAGGACCUCCGGGCCCACAUCGACAAGCUGACGGGCAUUCUGCAGGAGGUGAAGCUGCAGAACAGCAGCAAGGACCGGGAGCUGCAGGCCCUGCGGGACCGCAUGCUCCGCAUGGAGAGGGUCAUCCCCCUGGCCCAGGAUCAUGAGGAUGAGAAUGAAGAAGGUGGUGAGGUCCCCUGGGCCCCGCCGGAAGGAUCAGAGGCAGCAGAGGAGGCAGCCCCCAGUGACCGCAUGCCGUCAGCCCGGCCCCCCUCGCCACCACUGUCAAGCUGGGAGCGGGUGUCACGGCUCAUGGAGGAGGACCCUGCCUUCCGUCGUGGUCGUCUUCGCUGGCUUAAGCAGGAGCAGCUACGGCUGCAGGGACUGCAGGGCUCUGGGGGCCGGGGCGGGGGGCUGCGCAGGCCCCCAGCCCGCUUCGUGCCCCCUCACGACUGCAAGCUACGCUUCCCCUUCAAGAGCAACCCCCAGCACCGGGAGUCUUGGCCAGGGAUGGGGAGCGGGGAGGCUCCGGCUCCGCCCCAACCCCCUGAGGAGGCCGCUCCCCCUCCAACCACCCCUGCCCGCAGGCCUCCGAGUCCCCGAAGGUCCCACCAUCCCCGCAGGAACUCCCUGGACGGAGGGGGCCGAUCCCGGGGAGCGGGUUCUGCACAGCCUGAACCCCAGCACUUCCAGCCCAAAAAGCACAACCCUCAUCCCCAGGCACCCCAACCCUACCCAGCCCAGCGGCCCCAAGGGCCCCGCUACCCCCCAUACACUACUCCCCCACGAAUGAGACGGCAGCGCUCUGCCCCUGACCUCAAGGAGAGUGGGGCAGCUGUGUGAAUCCCACAUCCUGGGCAGAGGGCCUGGUGGGGCCCCUUGCUAGGAGAAGGGAAGACGCCUGAGACGCUGCUUCCCCGGAAGCGCUGGGGCAGGGAGGCCCAGGAGACGAGAGAGAAGGUCCGAGUAGGUGAUAGAAGACGCGGGGGAGGCCGAGCUGGAGGCUGAGGAAAGGACGAGGGCACGGAGUUGCCAGGAGCAAACCAAAGUGAAGAGAGAGAGGAAGCUGCCUCGGGGCCACCCCUCGCAAGGGGGUGGAUCCCACAAACGCUGCUAUGGGUGGGGUGGGGGGCUGGGGUGCUGCGUAGCCAGUGUUUGACUUUCUUUUCAAGUAGGGGAAAGGGGGAGAGGACAGAGUGAGGCAAGUUCUCCCCAGCCCCUGUCCGUCUGUCUGUCUGUCUGUCUGUGGUGGUUUCUGUUUCUAGGGAGGCAUGGUAGGAUCAUAAGUCAUUCCCCUCCUCUUCCAGGCCUCCUGCUGUAUUUGGGGGACCUGACUGGUAUGGCUGGAGUCCCAUGAGGAUGUGGCCCCUUUAAUAAAGGAUAGUGAACAGGGAGCUUGUGGCCUGUUUGUUUUGGGUUUUCGUGGAGGUGUAGGUUAUAUAAGGACAUGGCACAGGUCUUAAGCAUACUUACCAGUGGAGUUUUACAUGUGUGCUCUGUGCAGGCACCACCCAGAGCUGGACAUAAGAAUGCUUCCAUCUUGUCGUCCUGAGCUGCAACCUCCUGUCUCUUCCUUCAGGGUGCGCAGCCCGGUCUUUUCUCCCUGCUUCUUUUUUGGUGGGGGAGGGGUAGAGACAGGGUCUUGCUUUGUCGCCCAGGCUGGAGGUGCAGUCUUGGCUCACUACAGCCUCUGCCUCCCGAGUAGCUGGGAUUACAGGCAUGCGCCACCACACCCGGCUCAUUAUUGUAUCUUCAGUAGUGACAAGGUUUCACCAUGUUGGCCAGGCUGGUGUCGAACUCCUGACCUCAAGUGAUCCACCCACUUCGGCCUCCCAAAGUGCUGGGAUUACAGGUGUGAGCCACGGCGCCUGGCCUCCCCUGCUUUCAUUUUUGCUUAUCCAGUGUCUCAAUCUGUGCCAACCACACCGCUGUCUGCUAUGGACAAAGCACAGAAGGGGGGAUGCGAGGGGAGGUAGAGGGACUGCCAGCCUGUCAAUGCCUAAUUGGCUGUUGCGGACAGAUACAGAAGGAUUUGUGGGGUACAGAGGAGUUCUGCUUUAUUAAGUCACCUCACUUGUUUGAAAGGUCUCCCAAGUAGCUAGUUUCUCCUGAUAGCGAAUGGGUGGGAAUGGGUGGGGCAGGCUUACUGCGCUUUCCUGAUUGUUUUCAUCCUGGUUGUGUUACCUGCCUUCUGGCAGGGUCCAUCUUUGUUCCCAGACUGCUGCCUGCUUGUUUUAAUGUUCUGGAUCGAGGCAACGAGCCCUUGACUAUGCCACAUUGCCAGGAUUUUGCAGGUUAGAUUGUACUGCCGUAGGCUUGCCAGACUCUGGAGUCCCCACAUUUUCAUCCUGUUCUCAGGAAAACACUUUGACCCACUUGAAGCUCUGAGCUGCUACUACUGCACAGCUUUCUGAGGCCAGUCUCCGGUUGCAAGCAGCCAAACCACGGCAUUGGGCGAAGGAAGGAUUAGGUUUACUCUUGGUUUCCACAGGGUGUGGUUUCCACACCCUGAUGCUCCUACCUUUAUUUUGACACCUCUGACUGCCAGGUUUUCACAGACCUGUUGACAGUGACCCAAGACCUGGAAUGUAAUGGAUGGUUUGGCAACAGUGUUUGCUUGAGCAGUUUAAAAUCUGGCCGGGGAGACUAAAUGUGAGCAAGAAAAUGAUAGAAUACAAAGUUCUCUGGAGGUCAGAGGGAGCUGAGUGUUACAGAGAACACUGUGGGUUUCAAGAUGAGAAAAACAGCUCGCUAAUUUAAAAGACGUAUUAUUUUUUCCUAAAGACCUUGCCUUAUAUAAAUGUAUAUUAUCCAUAAUUUUUAAAAUGCACUAUGGCCAGGCACGGAGGCUCACACCUGUAAUCCCAGCACUUUGGGAGGCUGAGGCAGGAGGAUCAGUUGAGUCCAGGAGUUCGAGACCAGCCUGGGCAACAUAGCAAAACCCUGUACCUACAAAAAAGACAUAAACUAGCUGGGUGUGGUGGUGUGUGCCUGUAGUUCCAGCUACUAGGGAGGUAGGAGGAUCACCUGAGCCCAUGGAGGUUGAGGCUGCAGUGAGCCAUGAAGGCACCACUGGACUCCGGCCUGGGCAAGAAUGGAACCCUCCCCCAAAAAAAAAAAAAAGAUCAACAUAUCCAGCCUUGCAAGUCAAUCUUUAAUAAUUGCGUGGGCCAGGCACAGUGACUCACGCCCGUAAUCCCAGCACUUUGGGAUAUUAGGGUGGGAGCAUCACUUGAGGCCAGGAAUUUGAGACCAGCCUGGGCAACAUCGUGAGACCCCCCGAUCUCUACAAAAAAUAAAAAAUAAUAAUGCAGGCAAACUUGUUAAGAUUUUAUUCAGAGUAGUGCCUAUUUAUCUUUUUGUUUUCUUUGAGACGGAGUCUCGCUCUGUCGCCUAAGCUGGAGUGCAGUGGCGUGAUCUCGGCUCACUGCAAGCUCCGCCUCCCGGGUUCACGCCAUUCUCCUGCCUCAGCCUCCCGAGCAGCUGGGACUACAGGCGCCGGCCACCACGCCCAGCUAGUUUUUGUAUUUUUUAGUAGAGACGGGGUUUCACCGUGUUAGCCAGGAUGGUCUCGAUCUCCUGACCUCGUGAUCCACCCACCUCGGCCACCCAAAGUGCUGGGAUUACAGGCGUAAACCACUGCGCCUGGCUGCCUACUUAUCUUUUAUCUGUGCUACAUGUGCCGGCAUUCCAUAUCCAUUUCAUUUAGUCCUUAAAGUACCCCUGUAAAAUAGGUCUUUUGUCUGCAUUUUUCACAUGGGAAGACUGAGGUUUUGUUUAUUUUUAUUUAUGUAUUUUUUGAGACGGAGUCUCGUGCCGUCACCCAGGCUGCAGUGCAAUGGCACAAUCUUGGUCCACUACAACCUCCGCCUGCCGGGUUCAAGCAAUUCUCCUGCCUCAGCUUCUUGAGUAGCUGGGAUUACAGGCACCCACCACCAUGCCCAGCUAAUUUUUUGUAUUUGUAGUAGAGAUGGGGUUUCACUAUGUUGGCCAGGCUGGUUUCCAACUCCUGACCUCAGGUGAUCCGCCCCCCUCUGGUUCCCAAAAUGUUGGGAUUACAAGCAUGAGCCACCACACCCGGCCUAUUUAUUUUUUUAGAAUCAAGAUCUUGCUUUGUUGCCCAGCCUGAACUCCAACUCCCAGGCUCAAGCAAUCCUGCCUCAGCCUCCCAAACCAAGUAACUGGUACUACAAGCAUAUGCCACUGUGCCUGGCUCCUAAAGACUGAGAUUUGAUUAGAUUAAUGACUUGCCUAAAUUCAGACAGUUCUUAAUUGGCAAAGUUAGGAUUCCAAUCCAGGUCAAUGUAACUAAAGCCCAAACCCCAUCUCAUCCCUCUAGGCCAUCCAAUAUUGGCUGGGUGUGGUGGUUUAUGUCUGUAAUCCCAGCACUUUGGGAGGCAGAGGUGGAGGUGGGAGGACUGUUUGAGCUCAGGAGUUUGAGACCAGCCUGGGCAACACAGCAAGACAAAAAAUAUAUAAAUUAGCUGGGUGUAGUGGCUCACACCUGUAGCUACUUGGGAAGCUGAGGUGGGAGGAUCGCUUGAGCCUGGGAGGUCACGGCUGCAGUGAGCUGUGAUUGUCACUCCAGCCUGAGUGACAGAGGGAGACCCUGUCUCAAAAAUAUGUAUAAAAAAUAAAAAGAAGAUCAGACAUCACCAUCACCUCUCCUAGAAACCAUGAGGCCUUCUCCUCAACUCAGAUCUUCCGAGGCAUUUCAUGAACUUGGAUCUAGUUUCUGUUGUCUCCCAAAUUGCCCAGGUUGUCCUGUGAGUGAGAGCAGCAGCUAUUUCAUGGGCCACCUCUGGAAUCAUAAGAAGUCACCCAAACAAUCUCAGUUUUCUAGCUCACUCAAUCUUGACAUUUCUACAGUGUCAUCCUUGGUUUUCUUGGAAAUUAAUUUGCUUUUCUUCAUUGUCUUUCUUUGGAGCUUCUCUCCUCUUGUUGGUUACUAUUUUAUUUUUAACUUCCCACACCAUACCAGCAUAUGUUGGUUAUUCUUUUAGACAUUUUGUUGUUGUUGUUGUCACCUGGAACUUUUGUAUCUUGAAUAAAUUUGGGGAUCGAAUACAUUUUUUCUCCACCAGUCUUAUUUAUACCUUUCUAUAUUAAGAGCUUCAAAUUUGGUUUG